AACUCCGCUAACGCGGAGCUAAUACCGCAUAUGUUCGCUCAUUCGGUUGGGCGAGUAAAGCAGCGAUGCGCUUAGGGAUGGGCCUGCGGCGGAUUAGGUAGUUGGUGGGGUAACGGCCUACCAAGCCGAUGAUCCGUAGGGGGCGUGAGAGCGUGGCCCCCCACACUGGCACUGAGACACGGGCCAGACUCCUACGGGAGGCAGCAGUGAGGAAUAUUGCACAAUGGGCGCAAGCCUGAUGCAGCAACGCCGCGUGAGGGACGAAGGCCUUCGGGUUGUAAACCUCUUUUCUGAGGGACGAGGAAGGACGGUACCUCAGGAAUAAGUCUCGGCUAACUACGUGCCAGCAGCCGCGGUAAAACGUAGGAGGCGAGCGUUAUCCGGAUUUACUGGGCGUAAAGCGCGCGCAGGUGGCUUCGUGAGUCGGACAUGAAAGCUCCUGGCUUAACUGGGAGAGGCUGUUCGAUACUGCGGGGCUUGAGGUUGGGAGAGGGACGCGGAAUUCCCGGUGUAGUGGUGGAAUGCGUAGAUAUCGGGAGGAACACCAGUGGCGCAAGCGGCGUCCUGGCCCACACCUGACGCUGAGGUGCGAAAGCGUGGGUAGCAAACAGGAUUAGAUACCCUGGUAGUCCACGCUGUAAACGAUG
rnacentral:rRNA from 1 species